rnacentral:rRNA from 1 species
GCAUAUCAAUAAGCGGAGGAAAAGAAACUAACAAGGAUUCCCCUAGUAACGGCGAGUGAAGCGGGAAGAGCUCAAAUUUGAAAUCUAAUGGCCUCAGGUCAUUCGAGUUGUAAUCUAUAGGAACGUUUUCCGUGCCGGCUCAUGUACAAGUCCCUUGGAACAGGGCGUCAUAGAGGGUGAGAAUCCCGUACUUGACAUGAACUACCGGUGCUCUGUGAUACGUCUCCAACGAGUCGAGUUGUUUGGGAAUGCAGCUCAAAAUGGGUGGUAAAUUCCAUCUAAAGCUAAAUAUUGGUGUGAGACCGAUAGCGAACAAGUACCGUGAGGGAAAGAUGAAAAGCACUUUGGAAAGAGAGUUAAAAAGUAUGUGAAAUUGUUGAAAGGGAAACGAUUGAAGUCAGUCAUGUCCUUCAGAUUCAGCUGGUUCUGCCGGUGUAUUUCUGUUGGAUGGGGUCAACAUCAGUUUUGGAUGCCGGAUAAAGGCAGGAGGAAGGUAGUACUCUCGAGUAAACUUAUAGCCUCCUGUUGCAUACGGUGACUGGGACUGAGGAACGCAGCUUGCCUUUAUGGCCGGGGUUCGCCCACGUACAAGCUUAGGAUGUUGACAUAAUGGCUUUA